GAUGAACGCUGGCGGCGUGCCUAAUACAUGCAAGUCGAGCGAACAGAUAAGGAGCUUGCUCCUUUGAAGUUAGCGGCGGACGGGUGAGUAACACGUGGGUAACCUACCUAUAAGACUGGGAUAACUUCGGGAAACCGGAGCUAAUACCGGAUAACAUUUAGAACCGCAUGGUUCUAAAGUGAAAGAUGGUUUUGCUAUCACUUAUAGAUGGACCCGCGCCGUAUUAGCUAGUUGGUAAGGUAACGGCUUACCAAGGCGACGAUACGUAGCCGACCUGAGAGGGUGAUCGGCCACACUGGAACUGAGACACGGUCCAGACUCCUACGGGAGGCAGCAGUAGGGAAUCUUCCGCAAUGGGCGAAAGCCUGACGGAGCAACGCCGCGUGAGUGAUGAAGGGUUUCGGCUCGUAAAACUCUGUUAUUAGGGAAGAACAAAUGUGUAAGUAACUGUGCACAUCUUGACGCGACCUAAUCAGAGAGCCACGGCUAACUACGUGCCAGCAGCCGCGGUAAUACGUAAGUGGCAAGCGUUAUCCGGAAUUAUUGGGCGUAAAGCGCGCGUAGGCGGUUUCUUAGUCUGAUGUGAAAGCCCACGGCUCACUUGUGGAGGGUCAUUGGAAACUGGGAAACUUGAGUGCAGAAGAGGAAAGUGGAAUUCCAUGUGUAGCGGUGAAAUGCGCAGAGAUAUGGAGGAACACCAGUGGCGAAGGCGACUUUCUGGUCUGUAACUGACGCUGAUGUGCGAAAGCGUGGGGAUCAAACAGGAUUAGAUACCCUGGUAGUCCACGCCGUAAACGAUGAGUGCUAAGUGUUAGGGGGUUUCCGCCCCUUAGUGCUGCAGCUAACGCAUUAAGCACUCCGCCUGGGGAGUACGACCGCAAGGUUGAAACUCAAAGGAAUUGACGGGGACCCGCACAAGCGGUGGAGCAUGUGGUUUAAUUCGAAGCAACGCGAGGAACCUUACCAAAUCUUGACAUCCUUUGAAAACUCUAGAGAUAGAGCCUUCCCCUUCGGGGGACAAAGUGACAGGUGGUGCAUGGUUGUCGUCAGCUCGUGUCGUGAGAUGUUGGGUUAAGUCCCGCAACGAGCGCAACCCUUAAGCUUAGUUGCCAUCAUUAAGUUGGGCACUCUAGGUUGACUGCCGGUGACAAACCGGAGGAAGGUGGGGAUGACGUCAAAUCAUCAUGCCCCUUAUGAUUUGGGCUACACACGUGCUACAAUGGACAAUACAAAGGGCAGCUAAACCGCGAGGUCAUGCAAAUCCCAUAAAGUUGUUCUCAGUUCGGAGUUGUAGUCUGCAACUCGACUACAUGAAGCUGGAAUCGCUAGUAAUCGUAGAUCAGCAUGCUACGGUGAAUACGUUCCCGGGUCU
rnacentral:rRNA from 1 species